AACGAACGCUGGCGGCAUGCCUAACACAUGCAAGUCGAACGAGACCUUCGGGGCUAGUGGCGCACGGGUGCGUAACGCGUGGGAAUCUGCCCUUCGGUUGGGAAUAACUGAGAGAAAUUUCAGCUAAUACCGUAUAAUGUCUUCGGACCAAAGAUUUAUCGCCGUGGGAUGAGCCCGCGUAGGAUUAGGUAGUUGGUGGGGUAAUGGCCUACCAAGCCGACGAUCCUUAGCUGGUCUGAGAGGAUGAUCAGCCACACUGGGACUGAGACACGGCCCAGACUCCUACGGGAGGCAGCAGUGGGGAAUAUUGCACAAUGGGCGAAAGCCUGAUCCAGCAAUGCCGCGUGAGUGAUGAAGGCCUUAGGGUUGUAAAGCUCUUUUACCCGGGAUGAUAAUGACGGUACCGGGAGAAUAAGCUCCGGCUAACUCCGUG
rnacentral:rRNA from 1 species